UGGUGGAGUGAUUUGUCCGGUUAAUUCCCUUAACGAACGAGACCUUAACCUGCUAAAUAGAAGUAGUUAAAACCUAGCUAUAUUCUUCUUAGAGGGACUACUGUUGUAAAACAGUGGAAGUUUGGGGCAAUAACA
rnacentral:rRNA from 1 species